rnacentral:rRNA from 1 species
AUUGAACGCUGGCGGCAGGCCUAACACAUGCAAGUCGAGCGGAGCGGCGGACGGGUGAGUAAUGCCUAGGAAUCUGCCUGGUAGUGGGGGAUAACGUCCGGAAGCGGGCGCUAAUACCGCAUACUAUCAGAUGAGGCUAGGUCGGAUUGGCUAGUUGGUGGGGUAAAGGCCUACCAAGGCGACGAUCCGUAACUGGCCUGAGAGGAUGAUAAGUCACACUGGAACUGAGACACGGCCCAGAAUCCUACGGGAGGCAGCAGUGGGGAAUAUUGGACAAUGGGCGAAAGCCUGAUCCAGCCAUGCCGCGUGUGUGAAGAAGGUCUUCGGAUUGUAAAGCACUUUAAGUUGGGAGGCGUUACCAACAGAAUAAGCACCGGCUAACUACGUGCCAGCAGCCGCGGUAAUUC